CGGCGGACGGGUGAGUAACGCGUGGGUAACCUGCCUCAUACAGGGGGAUAACAGUUGGAAACGGCUGCUGAUACCGCAUAAGCGCACAGUACCGCAUGGUACCGUGUGAAAAACUCCGGUGGUAUGAGAUGGACCCGCGUCUGAUUAGCUAGUUGGUGGGGUAACGGCCUACCAAGGCGACGAUCAGUAGCCGACCUGAGAGGGUGACCGGCCACAUUGGGACUGAGACACGGCCCAA
rnacentral:rRNA from 1 species